CGUAGGGCGCAAGCGUUGUCCGGAUUCACUGGGUGUAAAGGGUGCGUAGGCGGGAAGGUAAGUCCGCGGUGAAAUCUCACAGCUCAACUGUGAAACUGCCGUUGAUACUGCUUUUCUUGAGUUCGGGAGAGGUUGAUGGAAUUCCAGGUGUAGCGGUGAAAUGCGUAGAUAUCUGGAAGAACACCAGUGGCGAAGGCGGUCAACUGGCCCGUAACUGACGCUGAGGCACGAAAGCGUGGGUAGCGAACAGGAUUAGAUACCCUGGUAGUCCACGCCCUAAACGAUGAAUACUUGGUGUUGGUCCGUAAGGAUCAGUGCCGAAGGAAACCUGAUAAGUAUUCCACCUGGGGAGUACGCUCGCAAGGGUG
rnacentral:rRNA from 1 species